rnacentral:rRNA from 1 species
UGGGAACGUACCCUUCGGUUCGGAAUAACUCAGGGAAACUUGAGCUAAUACCGGAUGUGACACGAGACUGCAUGGUCUUCGUGUGGAAAGAUUUAUCGGCUAGGGAUGGGCCCGCGGUCUAUCAGCUUGUUGGUGGGGUAAUGGCUCACCAAGGCGACGACGGAUAACCGGCCUGAGAGGGUGACCGGCCACACUGGGACUGAGACACGGCCCAGACUCCUACGGGAGGCA